GACGAACGCUGGCGGCGUGCCUAAUACAUGCAAGUCGAACGCAGUUGGGACGGGUGAGUAACCCGUGGGUAACCUCCCAUCAGAGGGGAUAACACUUGGAAACAGGUGCUAAACCGAUAUUGAUGGCUGAACCCGCGGUGCAUUAGCUCGGGGGUGAGGUAACGGCUCACCAAGGCCACGAUGGAUAGCCGACCUAGGAGGGUGAUCGGCCACACUUGGACUGAGACACGGCCCAGACUGCUACGGGAGGGAGCAGUAGGGAAUCUGCGGGAAUGGACGAAAGUCUGACCGAGCAACGACGCGUGAGUGAAGAAGGUUUUCGGAUCGUAAAACUCUGUUGUUAGAGAAGCGGUAUCUAACCAGAAAGCCACGGCUAAGUACGUGCCAGCAGCCGCGGUAAUUC
rnacentral:rRNA from 1 species